AUUUGGGGUUUCUCCUUCAGAAGCCACCGUCGAUCUUGUUCAUCAUGUCCUCGUCUUCUCUCUUCACAGCUCUGUUUCUUCUCCUAUUCUCCUCGAUUUUUGGUUUGCUUGUUACAAGCGAGAAGUACUAUGGCAUGAGGGGAGUCGGAAAAAGCAAUGAUAAAGAAAAUGUUAGGGUGAAAAGCAACCCUAAUGAAAGAAGUGGAUGAAAAUGGAUGGUCUACGCUUUAUUGUGCUGCUUAUGUUGGGAAUAUGACAAUCAUGCGAUCAUUUUUUAAAAACUCAGAUAAGCAAAUAAUAUAUUUUGGGACCAAAGAUGAAAACAAGACAGCUCUUCACAUUGCAGCGAUAGCCAUAUGGAUAUUGUGAAAGAGUUGGUAUUACAUUCUCAAUUUGUUGUAAAAGUAAUGAAAGAGUCAGUAUUACAUUCUUAGUUUGUUGUAGAUGUAAUAAAAGAGUUAAUAUCACAUUCUCAGUUGUCAAUGUAAUGAAAGAACCGGUAUUACAUUAUUAGUUAUUUGUUGAUGUAGUGAAAGAGUUUGUAUUAUAUUUCCAAGGUGUACAUGUGGUGAAAAACAUGUAAUAACAUUUUGUAUAUUGUGUAGUGAAAGAGUUGGUAUUAUGUUCUCAAAGGUGUGAGUAAGUCAAUGUUAAUGACAAAUACUCUUCAUUGAUUUAUAAAGGUUUUAUUUAUUUAUUAUUA